GGCGAGAUGGCCGAGCGGUCUAAGGCGCUAGAAUCAGGUUAUUAGUGCUUCUCACUAAUGACAUCAUCUAGUCCUCCGGGGCGUGGGUUCGAAUCCCACUCUCGUCA